UACGUAGGGUGCGAGCGUUAAUCGGAAUUACUGGGCGUAAAGCGUGCGCAGGCGGUUUUGUAAGCCAGAUGUGAAAUCCCCGGGCUUAACCUGGGAAUGGCAUUUGGGACUGCAAGGCUUGAGUGCGGCAGAGGAGACUGGAAUUCCUGGUGUAGCAGUGAAAUGCGUAGAUAUCAGGAGGAAUACCGGUGGCGAAGGCGGCAUCCUGGACCGGCAUUGACGCUGAGGCGCGAAAGCUAGGGGAGCAAACGGG
rnacentral:rRNA from 1 species